rnacentral:rRNA from 1 species
UACGUAGGGUGCAAGCGCUAAUCGGAAUUACUGGGCGUAAAGCGUGCGCAGGCGGUUUUGUAAGCCAGAUGUGAAAGCCCCGGGCUUAACCUGGGAAUGGCAUUUGGGACUGCAAGGCUUGAGUUUGGCAGAGGAGACUGGAAUUCCUGGUGUAGCAGUGAAAUGCGUAGAUAUCAGGAGGAAUACCGAUGGCGAAGGCAGGUCUCUGGGCUAUAACUGACGCUCAUGCACGAAAGCGUGGGGAGCAAACAGG